rnacentral:rRNA from 1 species
GUUCGAUCAUGGCUCAGAUUGAACGCUGGCGGGAUGCCUUACACAUGCAAGUCGAACGGCAGCACGGACUUCGGUCUGGUGGCGAGUGGCGAACGGGUGAGUAAUGCUGUCGGAACGUGCCUAGUAGCGGGGGAUAACUACGCGAAAGCGUAGCUAAUACCGCAUACGCCCGUCGGGGAAAGCGGGGGACCUUCGGGCCUCGCACUAUUGAAACGGCCGAUAUCGGAUUAGCUAGUUGGUGGGGUAACGGCUCACCAAAGGCGACGAUCCAUGUGGUUUAGAGAGGACGACCAGCCACACUGGGACUGAGACACGGCCCAGACUCCUACGGGAGGCAGCAGUGGGGAAUUUUGGACAAUGGGGAAACCCUGAUCCAGCCAUCCCGCGUGUGCGAUGAUGGCCUUCGGGUUGUAAAGCACUUUUGGCAGAAAGAAACGGCACGGGAUAAUACCCGUGCAACUGACUGACCUGCAGAAUAAGCACCGGCUAACUACGUGCCAGCAGCCGCGGUAAUACGUAGAGCAAGCGGUCGGAAUUACUGGGCGUAAAGCGUGCGCAGGCGGUUCGGAAAGAAAGAUGUGAAAUCCCAGAGCUUAACUUUGGAACUGCAUUUUUAACUACCGAGCUAGAGUGUGUCAGGGAGGUGGAAUUCCGCGUGUAGCAGUGAAAUGCGUAGAUAUGCGGAGGAACACCGAUGGCGAAGGCAGCCUCCUGGGAUAACACUGACGCUCAUGCACGAAAGCGAUGAGGCAAACAGGAUUAGAUACCUGGUAGUCCACGCCUAAACGAUGUCAACUAGCUGUUGGGGCCUUCGGGCCUUGGUAGCGCAACUAACGCGUGAAGUUGACCAUAUAGGAAGUACAGUCGCAAGAUUAAAACUCAAAGGAAUUGACGGGGACCCGCACAAGCGGUGGAUGAUGGAUUAAUUCGAUGCAACGCGAAAAACCUUACCUACCCCUUAGUAAACAUGUCUGGAAUCCCGAAGAGAUUUGGGAGUGCCAUAAGAGAACCGGAACACAGGUGCUGCAUGGCUGUCGUCAGCUCGUGUCGUGAGAUGUUGGGUUGAUCACAACAGCGCAACCCUUGUCAUUAGUUGCUACGAAAGGGCACUCUAAUGAGACUGCCGGUGACAAACCGGAGGAAGGUGAGGGGAUGACGUCAAGUCCUCAUGGCCCUUAUGGGUAGGGCUUCACGUCAUACAAUGGUCGGGACAGAGGGUGUAGCGCGAGACCAAUCCAGAAACCCGAUCGUAGUCCGGAUCGCAGUCUGCAACUCGACUGCGUGAACUCGGAAUCGCUAGUAAUCGCGGAUCAGCAUGUCGCGGUGAAUACGUUCCAGGUCUUGUACCGCCGCCCGUCACACCAUGGGAGUGGGUUUACCAGAAGUAGUUAGCCUAACCGUAAGGAGGGCGAUUACCACGGUAGGAUUCAU